GCCCUCGUGACGGAACUGGCAGACGUGCUGGCUUCAGAGACCGGAUUUUUGUGGGUUUCUCCUAGCGGAGACGCUUCGCGAACAACUCCCACCGAGGGUA
rnacentral:tRNA from 1 species